GCCCAGGUGGCACAAUGGGUCAGUGUGUGUGGCUGUUAACCAGAAGGUUAGUGGUUCGAGCCCACCCAGGGUUGAGCU